rnacentral:rRNA from 1 species
GUCCAGACUCCUACGGGAGGCAGCAGUGGGGAAUCUUCCGCAAUGGGCGAAAGCCUGACGGAGCAACGCCGCGUGAUCGAAUGAAGGCCUUCGGGUUGUAAAGAUCUGUUGACAGGGACGAAUAAGCAAUGCGAAUAGUUUUGUGUAUGACGGUACCUGUUUAGAAAGCUCCGGCUAACUACGUGCCAGCAGCCGCGGUAAUACGGAGGAUGCGAGCGUUAUCCGGAUUUAUUGGGUUUAAAGGGUGCGUAGGCGGAACAUUAAGUCAGCGGUAAAAUCGAGGGGCUCAACCCCUUUAAGCCGUUGAAACUGGUGAUCUUGAGUGGGCGAGAAGUAUGCGGAAUGCGUGGUGUAGCGGUGAAAUGCAUAGAUAUCACGCAGAACUCCGAUUGCGAAGGCAGCAUACCGGCGCCCGACUGACGCUGAGGCACGAAAGCGUGGGGAUCGAACAGGAUUAGAUACCCCAGUA